ACUUCUCGAAGGGGUAUUCGGUUGAUCACGUGGCCGAGACGUCUUUUCGUAUGUGGGUGGCUUUUGCAUUACUAUUCGGCUUUUUAUUUGGCUGAAGAGGUGCUGCUUUGUACUUCUCGAAGGAGUAUUCGGUUGAUCACGUGGCCAAGGCGUCUUUUCGUACGUGGGUGGAUUUUGUAUUACUAUUCGGGUUUUUAUUUGGACGAAGAGGUGCUGCGCCUCGUUCGUGGUCGAGUGCUCACGGGAGUCGGUUUGUGUUUGAGGUCUAGUGAGUAUUGCAAAUAUCAAAGGGUUUCUUCGUGCCUCGUUAUUUGAGAUUUGUCGUAUUAAAAUGGUGUAAGGAAGCGUUAUAGCUAUCAUGAAGUUGCAUAGCUUUAGGAAAUUGCGCCUUUAUUUUAUUCACAUAAGCCUUUUAUUGCUACUUUUUGGGCGUAUAUAUAUACAUAUAGGAGUUUAAUUCCCUUUCGUCGCGCAUGUUCUUUGUACCGAGAUAUCAUCUUCAUCUCGUCGUGCUCUUCCUUUAUUAAGGUAUGUCGGUGUGUGUAGUGUGGUUGGGUCUUUCGGGUACACAUGGCUAUAGUCGAGGAAUUGGGCGUGUUUACGGGGUCUUUGUCCGGUACUAAGAGUUCGGCCGAUGUUGGGGAAAUUGAGGUAUCUGCGAGUUCAUCGAGGCGGCUCACAUAGAGUAAUGCUACGGAGAGCACGGGUGACUCCUUCGGAUCGGGGCUUCCUAAUGCCGACAUGGAUCCUCAGGAUUACAAGCAAAAGUUCUCACCGUAAGGUUCCUGAAUAUGAAUGGGUCGACGCGGAGGUAGCGGCCUAUUACUCCCGUUUUUAUGAGAGGGUUGUUGUGGAAUGCUUACUCAAGAGGUGUCGUUUGACUCGUUGGGAGGAUACAGACCCUUACCCCAUAAUGCUUCGCCGACCCCAUAAUGCUUCGCCGUUGUAGGGCCGAAGGUCUUGGUGAGGUUGAUAAGGUCUUCCUCGCAAAGCAAGGAGGCCAAGGUGAUUUUUUUUUAUGUAUGAGUGUGUUUAGGGAUCUAGGUGUGUCCCUUCCUUUUGAUGACUUUCAGAUGGGUGUACUCCGGGUUUUAAACUUGCGCCAACUCAGCUUCAUCCGAAUGGAUGGGCAGUAAUGCAAGCAUUCCGAGUCCUUUGUAAAUAUCACUACAUCGAGCCAAAUUGUUGGACUAUUUUUGUACUCGCCCUUCCACCAAGACUGUGAAAUGGGUGUCCCUCAUAAGGCAUGUAGAUCUUCCUCUAUUCAAGCCAUUUACGUCUUUGUUUAAAGGAUUCAAAUCUGGCUUCUUGAAGGUGAUGAUCGACCUGAUAGCUGGAAGGAAUUACUUUUAUGAUCGGGAAGGAACCUCCUUGUUCCCCUUUUAUUAGACAAGGGUUCCCUGCAAAUAUGACGAGUACCCGACAAAUAUGCUUACUCCCUUUGAGACCAUGACCCUAACAUUGUUAAACACGUUGCCUCGAGAGAUCCUGGCCAGAUUUAUAGUUUUAUUACCCAAGUCUUCCCGACCUCGUUACGAUUUAAAUGGCUUUAUGGCACAGAAGGGUGUAGGGCUUUCAUAUAGGCAGGCAAUUAGGAAUCGUGCCCCGACCAAUGCACUUGCGGAGGACCAUCAAAGCGUGGUCGUAGACAGGGUUGCAGUGGUUGCUGAAGCGCGCUCCCCUCCUCGGGAUAUCCCCCUACCCGAGUCUCAAACUAGGAGGAAAAAAGACAAAUGGAAAAGAAAGAGGGGUGAUUCCUCCCGGCCGAGUGAUGAUGGUUUGAGGCUACACAAAAUUUGACGAACCGAAGGUUCCCAUUCGGACAUGGCCAUUCCUUCGACCCUUAUUGCUCGAGACUUCUUGGCAGAGGAAGUUCGACCUUCUCGAAUGAUGGCUCCUGAUUUGCUAUCUGAGGGGGGUCGUCGAAUGCUUAACUCUGCUAGUCCCUCGGCUCAAUGGGCCAUGACUUGUGAGCUACAAGUGCGCGCAUCGGCAAUUCUCUGAAAGUUGGCUUUGGAGCCAAUAUCUGAAGCAAUGAGUUUGAAGAGCUCUUUGGAUGAGACCCGAUGUUCAUUGCAACACUCCGUCGAGGCUCAUGCCGCGACUUCAGCUGAAAAGCUUUGACUUGAGUCCGAGAUUGCUAGACUUAAGGAGGCUAUGGAUGACAUGGAGGGAUGGUUGGCAGCGACUGAAGAGGCUGAGAGGAUGAGGGCCGAGGAGGUGAAAAAGGCUUUUUAUUUGGCCGAAAAGGUGUUGCUUUGUACUUCUCGAAGGAGUAUUUGGUUGAUCACGUGGCCGAGGCAUCUUUUCGUACGUGGGUGGAUUUUGUAUUACUAUUCAGGUCUUUAUUUGGCCGAAGAGGUGCUGCGCUUCGUUCGUUCGUGGUCGAGUGCUCACGUGAGUCAGUUUGUGUUUGAGGUCCAGUUGGUAUUGCAAAUAUCAGAGGGUUUCUUCGUGCCUCUUUAUUUGAGAUUUGUCGUAUUAAGGUGGUGUAAGGAAGCGUUACAGCUAUCAUGAAGUUGCAUAGCUUUAGGAAAUUGCACCUUUAUUUUAUUCACAUAAGCCUUUUAUCGCUGCUUUUUGGGUGUCUAUAUAUAUAGGAGUUUCGCCACUCCUCCUCUUUUGGCCAAGCCCGAUCCUCAUUUAGAUCUUACCAUUUACAUAGCAGUCUCAAACAAAGCAGUUAGUGCCAUCUUGGUAUAGGAACAAGAACAAAUACCAAUAUACUUCGUCAGUCGAGUCCUCCAAGAAGUCGAAACAGGAUACCAACAUCUCGAGCGGAUAGUUCUAACUUUAGUGCAGACAGCCCGAAGACUCGACCAUUAUUUCCAAAGCCACAAGAUCGUCUUCAGAAUAGACGGCCCAAUAGCCAAAGUGUUACAAAAGCCCGAAUUAGCAGGCCAGAUGAUGGCAUGGUCAGUAGAGUUAUCCCAGUUCGACAUCUGCUUCGAAGCACGGGGACCCAUCAAGGCUUAGAGAAUGGCCGAUUUUCUAAAAGAAUUCCACCCUGACAACACCCCAAAAGUAGUGGCCUGGACGUUACAUGUGGAUAGAUCAUCCAAUCAAUAGGGCAGUAGAGCAGGCAUCAUACUAGAAAGGCCAGGACAAAUGUUGGUAGAACAGUCGAUACGUUUCGGCUUCAAAACCUCAAACAACCAAGCUGAGUAUGAGGCGUUGUUGGACGAUUUGCGAUUGGCACAAGAACUAAGGGUACAAAGAGUUAAUUGCUAGAGCAAUUCCCAGAUUGUGACCGAAGAGGUCAAUGGCACAUUUCAAAUCAAGGAGCCCACGUUACUCCGGUACUUUCAUGCAUUUCAAAAGGUUAAGUCUAACUUUGAAGAGGUCUAAGUACAUCACACACCAAGAGAACUCAAUGCGAGGGCUGACCGAUUAGCCAAGCUAGCAAGCAGCAAAAGGGCAAACCAAUUGCACAGUGUGAUUCAAAUCUGGUUUCUUGAAGGUGAUGAUCGACCCGAUAGAUGGAAGGAACUACUUUUAUGAUCGGGAGGGAACCCCCUUGUUCCCCUUUUAUUGGACAAGGGUUCCCUGCAAAUAUGACGAGUACCCGACAAACAUGCUUACUCUCUUUAAGACCACAACCCUAACGUUGUUAAACACGUUGCCCCGAGAGAUCCCAGCCAGAUUUCUAGUUUUAUUACCCAAGUCUUCCCGACCUCAUUAUGAUUUAAAUGGCUUUAUGGCACAGAAGGGUAUAGGGCUUUCAUAUAGGCAGGAAAUUAGGAAUUGUUAUCCGACCAAUGCACUAGCGGAGGACCAUCGAAGCGUGGUCGUAGACGGGCCACAGUGGUUGUUGAAGCGCACUCCCCUCCUCGGGAUAUCCCCCUACCUGAGUCUUAGACUAGGAGAGAAAAGACAGAGGGAAAAGAGAGUGGUGAUUCCUCCUGGCCGAGUGAUGAUGGUUUGAGGCUGCACAAAAGUCGACAAACCGAAGGUUCCCAUUCGGACCUGGCCAUUCCUUCGGCCCUUAUUGCUCGAGACUUCUUGGCACAGGAAGUUCGACCUUCUUGAAUGAUGGCUCUUGAUUUGCUAUCUGAGGGGGGUCAUCAGAUGCUUAACUCUACUAGUCCCUCGGCUCAAUGGGCCAUGGCUUGUUUGCUACAAGUACGUGCAUCGGCAAUUCUCUAAAAGUUGGCUUUGGAGCCAAUAUCUGAAGCAAGGAGUUUGAAGAGUUCUUUGGAUGAGACCCGACGAUUAUUUCAACACUCCGUCGAGGCUCAUGCCGCGACUUCAGCUGAAAAGCUUCGACUUGAGUCCGAGAUUGCUAGACUUAGGGAGGUUAUGAACGACAUGGAGGGACGGUUGGCAGCGGCUGAAGAGGUUGAGAGGAUGAGGGUCGAGGAGGUGAAGGAGGCUUUGGGUCGUGAGGCCAAAACCAAAGAAGAAGCUGCUACAACAUUGAGGGAUCUUCGCAAGGAGUGUUAAAAUCAGAUUGUGCAUGAGCAUGAGGCAGGUUUCAUGCAUGCUGUCCGAUAAGCUACCUAUUUCUGUCAUGUGCCUUCCGAUUUCACCUUCAAGGUGACUAAGGAUUUCUACAAAGGCACUUAUAUGGAUUUUACUAAGAUGCCAGGGGAUGCUAAGCCAGAUGAUAUUGCCCCUGCUCGUUGAGGCAACCGAGGGGGUCCUGGAACAACCUGCCAAGAUGACGAGGAGACCCAUUAUGGCCCUGGUGAUGACCACACCAUCUCCGGUAUGUGAGAUGGGUCAGGUUCCUCCCUCUUGGCUGUUUGUAGAAGCCUUAGGCAGGAAAGUUGACUUUUAUUUUUUGUGGGGUUGGGUGUUAUGUUGUGCUUUUUAAACCUUGUCGAUGUAUGUGUAUUGGAGCUUUGAAUGCUUUUAUUUUGUGGAUACCCAAGCGAUUGCCAAACUUAAUGAGAAUCUAUUGUGUAUCA